rnacentral:rRNA from 1 species
UACGGAGGGUGCAAGCGUUGUCCGGAUUUAUUGGGUUUAAAGGGUGCGUAGGCGGCCUUUUAAGUCAGUGGUGAAAGCCAACAGCUCAACUGUUGAACUGCCAUUGAUACUGAAAGGCUUGAGUACAGACGAGGUAGGCGGAAUUGAAGAUGUAGCGGUGAAAUGCAUAGAUAUCUUCAAGAACACCGAUUGCGUAGGCAGCUUACUAGGCUGUAACUGACGCUGAGGCACGAAAGCGUGGGGAGCGAAC